rnacentral:rRNA from 1 species
CAGGCCUAACACAUGCAAGUCGAACGGCAGCAUGGAAGAGCUUGCUCUUCUGAUGGCGAGUGGCGAACGGGUGAGUAAAGCAUCGGAACGUACCGUGUAGUGGGGGAUAACGUAGCGAAAGUUACGCUAAUACCGCAUACGCACUGAGGUGGAAAGCAGGGGAUCGCAAGACCUUGCGCUAUACGAGCGGCCGAUGUCAGAUUAGCUAGUUGGUAGGGUAAAGGCCUACCAAGGCGACGAUCUGUAGCGGGUCUGAGAGGAUGAUCCGCCACACUGGGACUGAGACACGGCCCAGACUCCUACGGGAGGCAGCAGUGGGGAAUUUUGGACAAUGGGGGAAACCCUGAUCCAGCCAUGCCGCGUGAGUGAAGAAGGCCUUCGGGUUGUAAAGCUCUUUCGGCUGGGAAGAAAUCGCACAGGCUAAUACUCUGUGUGGAUGAC